rnacentral:rRNA from 1 species
UCCGGAUUAUUGGGUUUAAAGGGAGCGUAGAUGGAUGUUUAAGUCAGUUGUGAAAGUUUGCGGCUCAACCGUAAAAUUGCAGUUGAUACUGGAUAUCUUGAGUGCAGUUGAGGCAGGCGGAAUUCGUGGUGUAGCGGUGAAAUGCUUAGAUAUCACGAAGAACUCCGAUUGCGAAGGCAGCCUGCUAAGCUGCAACUGACAUUGAGGCUCGAAAGUGUGGGUAUCAAACAGGAUUAGAUACCCUGGUAGUCCACACGGUAAACGAUGAAUACUCGCUGUUUGCGAUAUACUGCAAGCGGCCAAGCGAAAGCGUUAAGUAUUCCACCUGGGGAGUACGCCGGCAACGGUGAAACUCAAAGGAAUUGACGGGGGCCCGCACAAGCGGAGGAACAUGUGGUUUAAUUCGAUGAUACGCGAGGAACCUUACCCGGGCUUAAAUUGCAGAUGAAUUACGGUGAAAGCCGUAAGCCGCAAGGCAUCUGUGAAGGUGCUGCAUGGUUGUCGUCAGCUCGUGCCGUGAGGUGUCGGCUUAAGUGCCAUAACGAGCGCAACCCUAGUUGUCAGUUACUAACAGGUUCCGCUGAGGACUCUGACAAGACUGCCAUCGUAAGAUGUGAGGAAGGUGGGGAUGACGUCAAAUCAGCACGGCCCUUACGUCCGGGGCUACACACGUGUUACAAUGGGGGGUACAGAGGGCCGCUACCACGCGAGUGGAUGCCAAUCCCCAAAACCUCUCUCAGUUCGGACUGGAGUCUGCAACCCGACUCCACGAAGCUGGAUUCGCUAGUAAUCGCGCAUCAGCCACGGCGCGGUGAAUACGUUCCCGGGCCUUGUACACACCGCCCGUCAAGCCAUGGGAGCCGGGGGUACCUGAAGUGCGUAACCGCGAGGAGCGCCCUAGGGUAAAACUGGUGACUGGGGCUAA